rnacentral:rRNA from 1 species
UACAGAGGUCCCAAGCGUUGUUCGGAUUCAUUGGGCGUAAAGGGUGCGUAGGCGGCGUGGUAAGUCGGGUGUGAAAUCUCGGAGCUUAACUCCGAAACUGCAUUCGAUACUGCCGUGCUUGAGGACUGGAGAGGAGACUGGAAUUUACGGUGUAGCGGUGAAAUGCGUAGAUAUCGUAAGGAAGACCAGUGGCGAAGGCGGGUCUCUGGACAGUUCCUGACGCUGAGGCACGAAGGUCAGGGGAGCAAACGGG